AUUGAACGCUGGCGGCAUGCCUUACACAUGCAAGUCGAACGGUAACGGGCCUUCGGGUGCCGACGAGUGGCGAACGGGUGAGUAAUACAUCGGAACGUGCCCGAUCGUGGGGGAUAACGAGGCGAAAGCUUUGCUAAUACCGCAUACGAUCUACGGAUGAAAGCAGGGGACCGCAAGGCCUUGCGCGGACGGAGCGGCCGAUGGCAGAUUAGGUAGUUGGUGGGUUAAAAGCUUACCAACCCGACGAUCUGUAGCUGGUCUGAGAGGAUGAUCAGCCACACUGGGACUGAGACACGGCCCAGACACCUACGGGAGGCAGCAGUGGGGAAUUUUGGACAAUGGGCGCAAGCCUGAUCCAGCCAUGCCGCGUGCAGGAUGAAGGACUUCGGGUUGUAAACUGCUUUUGUACGGAACGAAAAGCCUUCUUUUAAUACAGGAGGGUCAUGACGGUACCGUAAGAAUAAGCACCGGCUAACUACGUG
rnacentral:rRNA from 1 species